rnacentral:rRNA from 1 species
AGCGAACGCUGGCGGCAGGCUUAACACAUGCAAGUCGAGCGGGCAUCCUUGUGGUGUCAGCGGCAGACGGGUGAGUAACGCGUGGGAACGUGCCCUUCGGUUCGGAAUAACUCAGGGAAACUUGAGCUAAUACCGGAUACGCCCUUUUGGGGAAAGGUUUACUGCCGAAGGAUCGGCCCGCGUCUGAUUAGCUAGUUGGUGAGGUUAUGGCUCACCGAGGCGACGAUCAGUAGCUGGUCUGAGAGGAUGAUCAGCCACACUGGGACUGAGACACGGCCCAGACUCCUACGGGAGGCAGCAGUGGGGAAUAUUGGACAAUGGGGGCAACCCUGAUCCAGCCAUGCCGCGUGAGUGAUGACGGCCUUAGGGUUGUAAAGCUCUUUUCUCCGGGACGAUAAUGACGGUACCGGAGGAAUAAGCCCCGGCUAACUUCGUG